ACAAUAAAUCACAAUGCGGAACUUUUAGUUUUGCAAUUGGAUUGAGAACAAUGUACAAAUGUUAUCGAUAAACAAUUGGAGGGCAAGUCUGGUGCCAGCAGCCGCGGUAAUUCCAGCUCCAAUAGCGUAUAUUAACGUUGUUGCAGUUAAAAAGCUCGUAGUUGAAAUGUGGGAUGAAGUAUAUAAUGAAUUUCUAAUUCAAUUCUAUAUUGAUUCCCCUCUCCAAUUUAUUAUUAUGGGUAUUAAUUUAUUUGUAAUAAGAAUUGGUCAUUUACUGUGAGAAAAUUAGAGUGUUCAAAGCAGGCAUUUGCUUGAAUAGAUUAGCAUGGAAUAAUACUAAAAGGCUUUUAUGGUCGAUUUAAUUGGUUUGUUCAUAAAAGCAAGAUUAAAAGGAACAGUUGGGGGUAUUCAUAUUCAAUAGUUAGAGGUGAAAUUCUCGGAUUUAUGGAAGAUGAACAA
rnacentral:rRNA from 1 species